rnacentral:rRNA from 1 species
UUGCUUUUCAUUUUCCAAUAAAGCGGAGGAAAAGAAAAUAACAAUGAUUACCUCAGUAGCGGCGAGUGAAGAGGUAUAAGCCCAAGAUGUUAAUCUGUGUUAAAGACAUAGAAUUGUAAUCUAUGGAAUCAAUCAGAAAGCGGAAGCCUGCCAUAAGUCCCUUGGAACAGGGUGCCAAAGAGGGUGAAAGCCCCGUCUUCGGGUAGGAAGAAGCAAUAGAAAGAUCA